rnacentral:rRNA from 1 species
AGUGAACGCUGGCGGUAGGCCUAACACAUGCAAGUCGAACGGCAGCACAGUAAGAGCUUGCUCUUACGGGUGGCGAGUGGCGGACGGGUGAGGAAUACAUCGGAAUCUACUUUUUCGUGGGGGAUAACGUAGGGAAACUUACGCUAAUACCGCAUACGACCUACGGGUGAAAGCAGGGGAUCUUCGGACCUUGCGCGAUUGAAUGAGCCGAUGUCGGAUUAGCUAGUUGGCGGGGUAAAGGCCCACCAAGGCGACGAUCCGUAGCUGGUCUGAGAGGAUGAUCAGCCACACUGGAACUGAGACACGGUCCAGACUACUACGGGAGGCAGCAGUGGGGAAUAUUGGACAAUGGGCGGAAGCCUGAUCCAGCCAUACCGAGUGGGUGAAGAAGGCCUUCGGGUUGUAAAGCCCUUUUGUUGGGAAAGAAAAGCAGCAGGUUAAUACCCCGCUGUUCUGACGGUACCCAAAGAAUAAGCACCGGCUAACUUCGUG